GCUGUCGUGGUGGCAGCGUGCGGGGGAAUAGGAAGGGGGGAGGGGGUACUCGGGAGUACUGGGCGUAAAGCGUGCGUAGGUGGUGGUUUAAGUCUGCGGGGAAAGCCCUGGGCUCAACCUGGGAAUUGCAGUGGAUACUGGGUCACUAGAGUGGGGUAGAGGGAUGCGGAAUUUCUGGUGUAGCAGUGAAAUGCGUAGAGAUCAGAAGGAACAUCCGUGGCGAAGGCUGCAUCCUGGGCCAACACUGACACUGAGGCACGAAAGCGUGGGGAGCAAACAGGAUUAGAUACCCGGGUAGUC
rnacentral:rRNA from 1 species